rnacentral:rRNA from 1 species
GACGAACGCUGGCGGCGUGCUUAACACAUGCAAGUCGAACGGAAAGGCCCUGCUUUUGUGGGGUGCUCGAGUGGCGAACGGGUGAGUAACACGUGAGUAACCUGCCCUUGACUUUGGGAUAACUUCAGGAAACUGGGGCUAAUACCGGAUAGGAGCUCCUGCCGCAUGGUGGGGGUUGGAAAGUUUCGGCGGUUGGGGAUGGACUCGCGGCUUAUCAGCUUGUUGGUGGGGUAGUGGCUUACCAAGGCUUUGACGGGUAGCCGGCCUGAGAGGGUGACCGGCCACAUUGGGACUGAGAUACGGCCCAGGCUCCUACGGGAGGCAGCAGUGGGGAAUAUUGCACAAUGGGCGGAAGCCUGAUGCAGCAACGCCGCGUGCGGGAUGACGGCCUUCGGGUUGUAAACCGCUUUCGCCUGUGACGAAGCGUGAGUGACGGUAAUGGGUAAAGAAGCACCGGCUAACUACGUG